ACACGGGUGCCGGAGACUCGUAGGUGUAGGAGAUCAGGCCACAGCUCCUCUGUGCCUCUUUGAACUGCCUGGGGACGAAAGAGGUCAUGAGCUGCCUCAAGCCUGCAAAUGAAGCAUACUGCAGAGAAAAUUAAGUGGGCUUCCUGGUGAUAGGCAAGGGCUCUGACGAGAAGGCGCCCAUGAAGCUCAAGUCAGCGGGGGAAAGCCCGACAUCGCUGCCUGAAAGCUUGUCACAGCUGAGACCUCGCACACGCCAAGGACACGUGCGGACGGCUGGGCUCCUCCUCUGCUGUGCCCACCCAAGGACAGCCGGCUCUUCUGCAGAGGCUUCUGCUGCUACUCCUUGUUGCUGAUUAACCCCUUCCUGGGUCACAUGCGCGUUCACUUGUCAUGGCACGGCCUCAGCCCCUGCUGGGCAACACUGUGUGACCACUUGGACCUGAUUCCACAGCAGGCACGGGUGGUAAUUCUGAUAGCCUGGUAUAAAAUCUCUCCUUUGGGACCUUAAAUAAGACAGUAACUUACUACACUCAAUCUCUCCUUUCUAUCACAAGUGCUUCCCUUUGUGAAAAUUCAGGACCAGGUGCUGGGAAAUAGAACCACGGCACAAGGCACA